rnacentral:rRNA from 1 species
GGUUAAGCGACUAAGCGUACACGGUGGAUGCCCUGGCAGUCAGAGGCGAUGAAGGACGUGCUAAUCUGCGAAAAGCGUCGGUAAGGUGAUAUGAACCGUUACAGCCGGCGAUGUCCGAAUGGGGAAACCCAGUGCAAUUCGUUGCACUAUCGUUAACUGAAUACAUAGGUUAACGAGGCGAACCGGGGGAACUGAAACAUCUAAGUACCCCGAGGAAAAGAAAUCAACCGAGAUUCCCCCAGUAGCGGCGAGCGAACGGGGAGCAGCCCGGAGUCUGAAUCAGCUUGUGUGUUAGUGGAAGCGUCUGGAAAGUCGCAGGGUACAGGGUGAUACUCCCGUACACUAAAACACACAGGUUGUGAACUCGAAGAGUAGGGCGGGACACGUGGUAUCCUGUCUGAAUAUGGGGGGACCAUCCUCCAAGGCUAAAUACUCCUGACUGACCGAUAGUGAACCAGUACCGUGAGGGAAAGGCGAAAAGAACCCCGGCGAGGGGAGUGAAAAAGAACCUGAAACCGUGUACGUACAAGCAGUAGGAGCCCACUUGUGGGGUGACUGCGUACCUUUUGUAUAAUGGGUCAGCGACUUAUAUUCUGUAGCAAGGUUAACCGUAUAGGGGAGCCGCAGGGAAACCGAGUCUUAACUGGGCGUUAAGUUGCAGGGUAUAGACCCGAAACCCGGUGAUCUAGCCAUGGGCAGGUUGAAGGUUGGGUAACACUAACUGGAGGACCGAACCGACUAAUGUUGAAAAAUUAGCGGAUGACUUGUGGCUGGGGGUGAAAGGCCAAUCAAACCGGGAGAUAGCUGGUUCUCCCCGAAAGCUAUUUAGGUAGCGCCUCGUGAACUCAUCUUCGGGGGUAGAGCACUGUUUCGGCUAGGGGGUCAUCCCGACUUACCAACCCGAUGCAAACUACGAAUACCGAAGAAUGUUAUCACGGGAGACACACGGCGGGUGCUAACGUCCGUCGUGAAGAGGGAAACAACCCAGACCGCCAGCUAAGGUCCCAAAGUCAUGGUUAAGUGGGAAACGAUGUGGGAAGGCCCAGACAGCCAGGAUGUUGGCUUAGAAGCAGCCAUCAUUUAAAGAAAGCGUAAUAGCUCACUGGUCGAGUCGGCCUGCGCGGAAGAUGUAACGGGGCUAAACCAUGCACCGAAGCUGCGGCAGCGACACUAUGUGUUGUUGGGUAGGGGAGCGUUCUGUAAGCCGUUGAAGGUGGCCUGUGAGGGUUGCUGGAGGUAUCAGAAGUGCGAAUGCUGACAUAAGUAACGAUAAUGCGGGUGAAAAACCCGCACGCCGGAAGACCAAGGGUUCCUGUCCAACGUUAAUCGGGGCAGGGUGAGUCGACCCCUAAGGCGAGGCCGAAAGGCGUAGUCGAUGGGAAACAGGUUAAUAUUCCUGUACUCGGUGUUACUGCGAAGGGGGGACGGAGAAGGCUAUGUUGGCCGGGCGACGGUUGUCCCGGUUUAAGCAUGUAGGCGGAUGUUCCAGGUAAAUCCGGAACGUUAUUAACGCUGAGGUGUGAUGACGAGGCACUACGGUGCUGAAGUGACAAAUGCCCUGCUUCCAGGAAAAGCCUCUAAGCAUCAGGUAACAUCAAAUCGUACCCCAAACCGACACAGGUGGUCAGGUAGAGAAUACCAAGGCGCUUGAGAGAACUCGGGUGAAGGAACUAGGCAAAAUGGUGCCGUAACUUCGGGAGAAGGCACGCUGAUGGUAGGUGAAGUGACUUGCUCAUGGAGCUGAAAUCAGUCGAAGAUACCAGCUGGCUGCAACUGUUUAUUAAAAACACAGCACUGUGCAAACACGAAAGUGGACGUAUACGGUGUGACGCCUGCCCGGUGCCGGAAGGUUAAUUGAUGGGGUUAUCCGUAAGGAGAAGCUCUUGAUCGAAGCCCCGGUAAACGGCGGCCGUAACUAUAACGGUCCUAAGGUAGCGAAAUUCCUUGUCGGGUAAGUUCCGACCUGCACGAAUGGCGUAAUGAUGGCCAGGCUGUCUCCACCCGAGACUCAGUGAAAUUGAACUCGCUGUGAAGAUGCAGUGUACCCGCGGCAAGACGGAAAGACCCCGUGAACCUUUACUAUAGCUUGACACUGAACACUGGUCCUUGAUGUGUAGGAUAGGUGGGAGGCUUUGAAGUGUGGACGCCAGUCUGCAUGGAGCCAUCCUUGAAAUACCACCCUUUAAUGGCUGGUGUUCUAACGUGGGCCCCUAAUCGGGGUUGCGGACAGUGUCUGGUGGGUAGUUUGACUGGGGCGGUCUCCUCCUAAAGAGUAACGGAGGAGCACGAAGGUCAGCUAAUCCUGGUCGGACAUCAGGAGGUUAGUGCAAUGGCAUAAGCUGGCUUGACUGCGAGCGUGACGGCGCGAGCAGGUGCGAAAGCAGGUCAUAGUGAUCCGGUGGUUCUGAAUGGAAGGGCCAUCGCUCAACGGAUAAAAGGUACUCCGGGGAUAACAGGCUGAUACCGCCCAAGAGUUCAUAUCGACGGCGGUGUUUGGCACCUCGAUGUCGGCUCAUCACAUCCUGGGGCUGAAGUAGGUCCCAAGGGUAUGGCUGUUCGCCAUUUAAAGUGGUACGCGAGCUGGGUUUAGAACGUCGUGAGACAGUUCGGUCCCUAUCUGCCGUGGGCGCUGGAGAAUUGAGGGGGGCUGCUCCUAGUACGAGAGGACCGGAGUGGACGCAUCACUGGUGUUCGGGUUGUCAUGCCAAUGGCAUUGCCCGGUAGCUAAAUGCGGAAGAGAUAAGUGCUGAAAGCAUCUAAGCACGAAACUUGCCCCGAGAUGAGUUCUCCCUGACCCUUUAAGGGUCCUGAAGGAACGUUGAAGACGACGACGUUGAUAGGCCGGGUGUGUAAGCGCAGCGAUGCGUUGAGCUAACCGGUACUAAUGAACCGUGAGGCUUAACCUU